rfam:Volvox carteri f. nagariensis unplaced genomic scaffold VOLCAscaffold_33, whole genome shotgun sequence.
AUCCCGGUGUUUCUCAACACCACCAUAAGGAUGCUGAGAAACGGUGU